UACGUAGGGUGCAAGCGUUAAUCGGAAUUACUGGGCGUAAAGCGUGCGCAGGCGGCUUUGCAAGACAGAUGUGAAAUCCCCGGGCUUAACCUGGGAACUGCAUUUGUGACUGCAUGGCUGGAGUGCGGCAGAGGGGAUGGAAUUCCGCGUGUAGCAGUGAAAUGCGUAGAUAUGCGGAGGAAUACCGAUGGCGAAGGCAGCCUCCUGGGCCAACACUGACGCUCAUGCACGAAAGCGUGGGGAGCAAACAGG
rnacentral:rRNA from 1 species